rnacentral:rRNA from 1 species
CCUACGGGGGGCUGCAGUGAGGAAUAUUCCGCAAUGGACGAAAGUCUGACGGAGCGACGCCGCGUGGAUGAAGAAGGCCGAAAGGUUGUAAAGUCCUUUUGUUGGGGAAGAAUAAGCGCGGGAGGGAAUGCCCGCGUGAUGACAUGAACCGACGAAUAAGCCCCGGCUAACUACGUGCCAGCAGCCGCGGUAACACGUAGGGGGCGAGCGUUGUUCGGAAUUACUGGGCGUAAAGGGCAUGUAGGCGGCCUUGUAAGCCUGGCGUGAAAGUCACCGGCUUAACCGGUGGAUUGCGUCGGGAACUGCAGGGCUUGAGUCACGGAGAGGGAGCUAGAAUUCCUGGUGUAGGGGUGAAAUCUGUAGAGAUCAGGAAGAAUACCAAUGGCGAAGGCAAGCUCCUGGCCGAUGACUGACGCUGAGGUGCGAAAGUGUGGGGAUCAAACAGGAUUAGAUACCCCGGUAGUC